GCCUUGGACCAGGUGGGAUAGGAGCAGGGGUUCUUGCUGGGAAGGCUGGGUACCCCACUGGGACAGGUGUUGGAGCACAGGCGGCAGCAGCAAAAGCGGCAGCUAAAUAUGGAGCCGGUGUCCUGCCUGGGGCUGGCGGCAUCCCAGGGGUGGGCGGCGUGGUGCCCGGUGUCGGUGUUGUUCCAGGAGCUGGAGUGGGAGGCCCGGCAGCGGCAGCAGCUGCAGCGAAGGCAGCAGCGAAAGCAGGAGCCUAUGGUGCAGGGGUGCUGCCCGGGGUCGGAGGUGUCCCAGGUCUUGUGCCUGGUGUCGGCGGUGUGCCUGGCUUGGUUCCUGGUGUCGGAGGUGUCCCUGGGGUGGCAGGAGUUGGGACACCAGCAGGAGCAGCAGCAGCAGCCAAGGCAGCUAAGUAUGGAGCUGGCGUUCCCGGUGUUGGCGUUCCCGGCGUUGGCGUUCCUGGCGUUGGCAUUGGAGGCGUGCCUGGUGUGCCUGGUGUGCCUGGUGUACCUGGUGUGCCUGGUGUACCUGGUGUGCCUGGUGUUCCUGGUGUGGCUGGUGUUCCUGGUGUGGUACCUGGCGUUGGAGGUGAGCAGAUGGGCUGGCAUGAGGGGACAACAUGGUGCCAGCUUCGCCAGUUCCCCUGACACCCUCUCUUCUGUUCCUGCAGUGGGUGGCCCAGCAGCUGCUGCUGCAGCAAAGGCUGCAGCAAAAGCAGCCGCAUUUGGAGCAGGGCGUGUGCCUGGGGUCGGCGUGCCUGGCGGUGUGCCUGGGGUCGGUGUACCAGGAGUCGGUGUUCCUGGAGUCGGAGUACCUGGAAUUGGUGUACCUGGAGUUGGAGUACCUGGGGUCGGUGUUCCCGGAGUUGGCGUACCCGGUCUGGUGCCUGGAGCUGGCCCAGCUGCUGCUGCUAAAGCAGCUGCCAAAGCUGCCAAGUACGCAGGAGCAGGUGGCUUGGCACCUGGCGUGGGAGGUCUGGCACCUGGCAUAGGAGGUCUGGCACCUGGUGUGGGAGGCCUUGCUCCUGGUGUAGGUGGCCUUGCUCCUGGUGUAGGUGGCCUGGCCCCUGGCGUUGGAGGUGUUCCAGGUGUUGGAGGUCCAGCAGCAGCCGCAAAAGCAGCAGCUAAGGCAGCCAAAUACGGUGCUGGUGUUGGAGGGGUGCCGGGUGCUGUGCCCGGUGCUCCUGGUGUGCCAGGAGUGACACCUGGCAUCGGUGGUGUGCCCGGCUUAGUGCCAGGCGUAGGGGUGCCCGGUGCCGGCGUUCUCCCCGGAGCAGGCAUCCCUCAGGUCGGGGUGCAGCCUGGUGCUAAGCCUCCCAAAUUCGGUGUGCCCGGGGCUGGGGUCCCAGGGGUCGGUGGCAUCCCAGGUGGCCUCGGAGUUGGUGGCCUUGGAGUUGGUGGCCUCGGUGCUGGUGGGGUUGGUGGCCAGCUGGGAUUUGGCGGUGAGUGCACUCUGGUCACACGCAUGGGGAUGUUGGGUUGGAGUCCCCUCAAAAGGCACUUGUCCCCACGCUGCCCCCCGCCCCACUCAUCUCUCUGCCUUGUCCCCACAGGGAAGCCCCCCAAGACCUACGGAGGAGCCCUGGGGGCCCUGGGCUUUAGAGGUGAGCGCUGUUUGGCUUUUCCCCACCCCUCCUCCGAGCACCUUUUUGGGGCACAGCUGGGGGGCUGAUCCACUCUCCCCCCUCCAUCCCCAGGUGGAAUUGGCUGUGCACAAGGGAAAUACUGCGGGAGGAAGCGGAAGUAACCGCCCACCGUCACCGAUGACCUCAUGAACUUUGGUGCUACUGCAUGGUCCAGAAUGUAAAUCCCCACCAAGCUGAGACCCCCCUGGCCCCACGCUCCCGGCAGGGACCCCACGGCAGCGUCAGGGGCCGCCCCCCCACCUCGGGAACCCCC
ensembl:lncRNA